UCAGUUAGCCGCCUAGGAGCCGCAGUCCUGGACCCCCCUCUGCUUCCUCUCUGGCGCCCCCUGUGGGUGGGCAGCGUGGUGGUGCUCACCAGCAUAUGUGCGGUAGCCCCCCACAGCCCCUGAACUCUGCCCCACAGGAAGCCCCUGUGACUGUCUUUCAGAUGUGGACACCAGGCUCCCCCUACCCCCCGCCUGCAGGUUGGCGGUGGUCUGCCC